CUGAGUUUUGAUCCUGGCUCAGAUUGAACGCUGGCGGCAUGCCUUACACAUGCAAGUCGAACGGCAGCACGGGGGCAACCCUGGUGGCGAGUGGCGAACGGGUGAGUAAUACAUCGGAACGUGCCCUGUCGUGGGGGAUAACUAGUCGAAAGAUUAGCUAAUACCGCAUACGACCUGAGGGUGAAAGCGGGGGNUCGCAAGACCUCGCGCGACAGGAGCGGCCGAUGUCUGAUUAGCUAGUUGGUGAGGUAAAGGCUCACCAAGGCGACGAUCAGUAGCUGGUCUGAGAGGACGAUCAGCCACACUGGGACUGAGACACGGCCCAGACUCCUACGGGAGGCAGCAGUGGGGAAUUUUGGACAAUGGGGGCAACCCUGAUCCAGCAAUGCCGCGUGUGUGAAGAAGGCCUUCGGGUUGUAAAGCACUUUUGUCCGGAAAGAAAUAGCGCUGGUUAAUACCUGGCGUUGAUGACGGUACCGGAAGAAUAAGCACCGGC
rnacentral:rRNA from 1 species